ACAUUUUUAAAUAUAUUCAAAUAUAAAACACUUAUUUUAAAUGUUAAUAAUUUCAAAAUUAUUUUACAGUUUCUGAUCAAAGAAAUGCAUCCUUCGCGAGAAUAUAAGGGCGUUCUUUCAUAAACAAAACAAACAAAAAAUCUGACCCCAAACUUUCGCCAGUGCAUGUACAUCGUCUAAAAAUAACUUUGGGACCAGUUGUUUACAAGAAAAUGAAGUUAAGUAAACAUCAUAAUUUAUGUGCAGAUUCCAGAUACAGAUAUUUUAAGUGUAGCUUCAGUGUCCAAAUAAACUCUCUGUGCUUGAAAAAUGUUGGUGCAAGGUUUAGUUUCCUUCUUUCCAGAAACACUAAUAAUCCUCUAACAGAAGGCCUCCUCUCACUCACCCUUUUCUCUUUCACUUUAUCUCUCUAUUUGAAUACAUCUGCCCCUCACCCACCCUUCAUCUUCUCUGUCUCUCUCCCCUACUGUGGGAAUGAAAUGUAAUCCACAUGGAUUAUUAAAGUGGGGAGGUGUGUGAGUGUAUCUGCCUCUCUUUCAGUUCCUCCCAGCUGUGUUGAACAUAAAACGAGUGUGAAAGACAUGUGGAACUGCAAAAGUUGCUAGCUGGCAAGUCAGUCCAACUGAAGACUCCAUCCACUCUUAGAGGAUUCAUCUAAACUCUGUGGAAGAAAGAGUGUGAUGAAGAGAAUGAGGCAAGGAUGAGAUGGAAGCAUCAAGAAGGGAAGAUCAGGAUUCUGGGAAGUUUUCUUUGUCACCCAAAAACACACUUUUGAAGCUUUCGAAGUGUCUUUUGGGCACAAUCUGAUAUCAAGACCAGACUGGGAUUACCACACACUGUUUGUCUUUAGGAUCCGCUGAGCUGGAGAUCGUACACGCUGCUGUUUUAUGCACAUGGCAAGGGGUUGAUGGGAAGGAUGAGUGCUGUUUUCAUGUUGGACCAUCCAAACACAAGCUCAGAUGAGGAUACCGCCUGAAACGUGAUGAAAGACUUCUGCAGCACACUCUGUUUGACGCAGUGGUCACAGAUCUUAUGGAAGCCUACUGGACCACACUGCUGCUCAACGCGUAUGGAAUUGAUGGGGGUUUGGAGACGGCGUUCCUGGGCACACGCUCCGGCCUCAUGAGAAUGAUCAGAUAUGUCAGCGAAGAGAAACGUGUGGUGAAGUGAGUACCUUUAAUCAAGAGCUCCUGCUGUCUGCGUCACGACCGUAUCUGCAUUGUCAUAGGAUUUCUUAAGGCCACCCACUCCCACAGCACUUCAUAUCACUUUCAUCAGUAUGCACUCUACAAUACACUCAUCACUGGGAAGAUAAAGAGGAACAAGCAAUAAAACAUAAUGUGGUAUUAAGAGAAUAAACUUUAGUUAGUGUGGUUAUACAGUACAUAAAUCAACGAACAGACGCUAAUCAUAUUAAUAUACAUAUAAUCAACGUAAAUAAGGCACUGACUAUAGUAGUUGAAUCUGAAUACUUGUAAAAGGUAUAUAUAUGUAUAUACAUAUACAUACACACACACAAUCAUAUGAAUUUCUUUUUGAUGGUUUCAUUGCAGAAAAUUCUUAUCUCCGUCAGAUAAGGAGAAUAUUUUAGUCUGGACCGUUUCCCUGUUUGGUAUCGGCGUGCGGCAAAGAAUCCAGCUGGAUGCUUUUUGUACCAUGUCCCAAUAGAGGACAGCACACCAGUGAUAGCAGGUUUGUGAUUGCUGUCACGUCUGUUGCAGUCUCUGUUAACCAAAAGACAGCAGUUGCAGGAGGCUGUCGCAAACACACCGUGUACUUCAGAAGGACCUCAGUGCCACCCACAUGCUUUCACAAGCCAGACAUUGACAAGAAAAAGCACUACAGCUGCAUUAAGUCCUUACCAUGCCAUUCCUCUCCUCGUCAGAAGCUCUGUAUGUAAUCAGGUCAGGCCACACCUGCUUCACCACCAUCACACUCAACGCUGGCGUACCACAGGGCUGUGUGCUGAGCCCAUUCCUCUAUUCCCUCUACACCCACAACUGCAAGCCUGUGCAUGAAUCCAACUUCAUCAAGUUUGCAGAUGACACCAAUGGUGAUUGGCCUCAUCAGAGACAACGAUGAAACUGCUUACAGGGAGGAGGUUCAGCACCUGGCUGUGUGGUGUGUUGACAACAACCUGCUUCUCAACACCAGUAAGACAAAGGUGCCCACUGUGGGCUUCAGGAAGAAGAAUGCAUGCAUGACCCCAUCUACAUUAAUGGGAUGGUUGUUGAGCGUGUCUCCAGCUUCAAGUUCCUGGGAACCCACAUCUCAGAGGACCUGUCCUGGACCACAAACACCUCCAGCCUGGUCAAGAAGGCUCACCAGCGCCUCUUCUUCCUUAGGACACUGAAGAAGGACCAGUUGUCUUCAGCCAUCCUGAUGAACUUCUACUGGUCUGCGAUCGAGAACAUCCGGACCAGUUAACUUGUAUCACAGUCUGGUAUGGUAACUGCUCUCUUGCUGACCACAAGACACUGUAGAGGGUGGUGAAAACCACCCAACGCAUCACAGUACAACACUUCCUGCUAUCGAGGACAUCCAACGAAGCUUGCAGCAUUCUUAAUGACUCCUUUCAACCUGACCAUAGACUGUUUAACAUCCUGCCCUCCGGGAGAUGCUGAGGACCAGCAGACUCAGGAACAGCUUUUUCCCUAUCCACCUUUUUCGUGACGUAAAAAUGGGUGCCACCAUUUGUAAAUUCUAUGGGUGUAGCUUCCGGUCUCAUUUGCGUCCAGUUAUUUUUAGAUGUACAAAACAGUUUAUUUUGCUGCUUGAUAUUGACAACUGAUGUGUCCUAUCAUAUUAUUUUAAUCUGUUAUCUUAAUUAAGAACACACUGGUUUGUACUGCAAACUGUUUUACCAUUUACUGCACAUAGUUAUUCUCCUCGUUAUUUACCUUUAGCGGCUAAUGAAAUGGAAGCCUCGCCCAUAGGCUUACUUCCGCGUUGAGAAAAAAGAUGCUGUCUUCUUUCUGAAUUUUGCCCUCUGACAACCAACCUCCACCUCCUCCAACCAACAUGCACUCACCACUACAUCUGGUUUACAAACACACACACACACACACACACACACACACAGUGUGUUCAUUCAUACAGAAUACUCAAUCCACAAUGGAAUAUUUUCUAUGCACUUUUUAAAUGUCCGUUACACUAGUGUAAAUGUCUGAUGUUCAUAUGUUCAUCGUUUCUGCUUAUAGUGUACAUACACUAAUUACAUAAUCCAUCUGUAUAGUAUAUUCAUAGUACACUAUAUCUGUACAGUAUAUCAUGCUGAUA